UACGUAGGUGGCAAGCGUUGUCCGGAUUUGUUGGGUUUAAAGGGUGCGUAGGCGGCCUUGUAAGUCAGUGCUGAAAUAUCCCGGCUUAACCGGGAGGGUGGCAUUGAUACUGCAGGGCUUGAGUAAAGUUGAGGUUGGCGGAAUUGACGGUGUAGCGGUGAAAUGCUUAGAUAUCGUCAAGAACACCGAUAGUGAAGACAGCUAACUAAGCUUUAACUGACGCUGAGGCACGAAAGUGUGGGGAUCAAACAGG
rnacentral:rRNA from 1 species